rnacentral:rRNA from 1 species
AGCGAACGCUGGCGGCAGGCCUAACACAUGCAAGUCGAACGAACUCUUCGGAGUUAGUGGCGGACGGGUGAGUAUCACGUGGGAACGUGCCUUUAGGUUCGGAAUAACUCAGGGAAACUUGUGCUAAUACCGAAUGUGCCCUUCGGGGGAAAGAUUUAUCGCCUUUAGAGCGGCCCGCGUCUGAUUAGCUAGUUGGUGAGGUAACGGCUCACCAAGGCGACGAUCAGUAGCUGGUCUGAGUGGAUGACCAGCCACACUGGGACUGAGACACGGCCCAGACUCCUACGGGAGGCAGCAGUGGGGAAUCUUGCGCAAUGGGCGAAAGCCUGACGCAGCCAUGCCGCGUGAAUGAUGAAGGUCUUAGGAUUGUAAAAUUCUUUCACCGGGGACGAUAAUGACGGUACCCGGAGAAGAAGCCCCGGCUAACUUCGCGCCAGCCGCCGCCGUAAAAC